UACAGAGGUCUCAAGCGUUGUUCGGAUUCAUUGGGCGUAAAGGGUGCGCAGGUGGCGGGGCCAGUCAGGUGUGAAAUCCCGGGGCUUAACCCUGGAACUGCAUUUGAUACUGCCUUGCUGGAGAACUGGAGAGGAGACUGGAAUUUACGGUGUAGCAGUGAAAUGCGUAGAGAUCCGGAAGAACACCGGUGGCGAAGGCGGUCUGCUGGGCAGUUGCUGACACUGAGGCGCGACAGCGUGGGGAGCAAACAGG
rnacentral:rRNA from 1 species